rnacentral:tRNA from 1 species
GGAGGAUGUGACUCAGUGGCAGAGCAUCUGCUUGGCAUGCAGAAGGUCCCAGGUUCAAUCCCCAGAAUCUCCA